rnacentral:rRNA from 1 species
CAGCCGCCGCGGGAAAACGAAGGGGGCUAGCGUUGUUCGGAAUCACUGGGCGUAAAGGGUGCGUAGGCGGGAUCUUAAGUCAGGGGUGAAAUCCCGAGGCUCAACCUCGGAACUGCCUUUGAUACUGGGGUCCUUGAGUCCGGAAGAGGUGAGUGGAACUGCGAGUGUAGAGGUGAAAUUCGUAGAUAUUCGCAAGAACACCGGUGGCGAAGGCGGCUCACUGGUCCGGAACUGACGCUGAGGCACGACAGCGUGGGGAGCAAACAGGAUUAGAUACCCGAGUAGUCCCUGUCUCUUAUAC